AUUUAUAACGACAACAAAUUAGUGGGCAUGAAUUUGUGCCAAUAUUUUAUUUUUUAAUUAAUGUUGUACAUUUUCGUGCCUAUAAAUUUCAAUGUCUCGUCUAUAGAU
rnacentral:pre_miRNA from 2 species